AUUGAACGCUGGCGGCAGGCCUAACACAUGCAAGUCGAACGAGUGGCGGACGGGUGAGUAAUGUCUGGGAAACUGCCUGAUGGAGGGGGAUAACUACUGGAAACGGUAGCUAAUACCGCAUACCAUCGGAUGUGCCCAGAUGGGAUUAGCUAGUAGGUGGGGUAAAGGCUCACCUAGGCGACGAUCCCUAGCUGGUCUGAGAGGAUGACAAGCCACCCUGGAACUGAGACACGGUCCAGACUCCUACGGUAGGCCGCAGUGGGUAAUAGUGCACUAUGGGCGCAAGCCUGAUGGAGGCAUGCCGCGAGUAUGAAGAAGGCCUUCGGGUUGUAGAGUCCUUUCAGCGGGGAGGCGUUACCCGCAGAAGAAGCACCGGCUAACUCCGUGCCAGCAGCCGCGGUAAUAC
rnacentral:rRNA from 1 species